rnacentral:rRNA from 1 species
GAUGAACGCUAGCGACAGGCCUAACACAUGCAAGUCGAGGGGCAGCAUGGUAUCAGCUUGCUGAUACCGAUGGCGACCGGCGCACGGGUGAGUAACGCGUAUGUAAUCUGCCUGUAACAGAGGGAUAACCCGGAGAAAUCCGGCCUAAUACCUCAUAGCACAUAUUAUUCGCAUGAGUUUUAUGUUAAAGAGACUCGGUUACAGAUGAACAUGCGUUCCAUUAGCUGGUUGGCGGGGUAACGGCCCACCAAGGCAACGAUGGAUAGGGGUUCUGAGAGGAAGGUCCCCCANACUGGUACUGAGACACGGACCAGACUCCUACGGGAGGCAGCAGUGAGGAAUAUUGGUCCAAUGGGCGAGAGCCUUGAACCAGCCAAGUUCGCGUGAGGAAGACUUGCCCUACGGGUUGUAAACUUCUUUAUACGGGAAUAAAGUGAGGGCCACGUGUGCCUUUUGUUAUGUACCGUAU